rnacentral:lncRNA from 1 species
UGGAAAUAAAGUCUCAAGCAGAAGUUGCAAAACAUUCCAAGGAGCUUUCUUUAUCUAUCUUUAUCUGCAACUAAUUUGAGCCAGAAGAAGGAAUUUGGAUGUGGCUAGAAUUCCUACAAUUCUGGAAGUGGAAACUGAGUCACCAAAGGACUCUUUUAUUAACCAUUUCCUUGUGUGUGACUACAUUCUGCCUUUGGCUGGUGGUCUGAGCAAUCCCUUUGCUCAUAAAUACAAGAAUAAUAGACUGAAAACUAAUGAUGGAAGGUCGGAAUGUUUACAUAUACCUGCACUCUCUGAAGUGAAUGGCAUGAAAAGUAAUUGCCAUAUACCUACAGCCUACUACUACAGAGGCAUCUGCUCUCCUCAAAGGAAUUUUGAUAUAACUAGUUCAAUGAAGACUAUUAAGUUAGGAGAAGCAUUAACAUGUAAAGGUUUCAUGUUUUCUAAACUUUGAUUCCAAAUUUGUUUUGUUGAAUUCCUUUUAAAAUUCAUAACCUUCUGGUUCUUUCAAGUUAUUAAAAUUGAAUCCAUUAAAAUUUCACUCUCACAUCUGAUUCAAAGAUUGUUCCUUACCCUAUUGCUAUCUUGAUGGGAGAGCAGAACUAGGAGUAGAUGUGGGGUCAUGGUGUUCUCCUCCAUUCUUCCCCCAUCUGGGUGUGAGUUAUCUUCUCUGAUGACUCUGUAGCAGUCUGUUCGGGGUAGGGAGGUACUCCAGGCCUUGUCCUGGUUAGAUUUGCUUCUAGCUCUUACUGGUAACUUUUGCUGCUUUGUGCCCUCUGUGUAUAUAGAUAGCAUAUGUCACUUUCCCAGAAUUGGUGCCCAGCUUCAUUGUAGUAUCCAUUGUUACCGAGUACUUUCUGAAAAAAGGAGCAGCCUGGUUUCUCCGAGUCAUUACCAGAAAUCCAUGUAUUAAGUACAUUGCCAUGACCAUUUGCUCUGAGUCUGCCUAGGUAAC